rnacentral:lncRNA from 10 species
AGGUGAUCCACCAACCUUGGCCUCCCAAAGUGUUGGGAUUACAGGCGUGAGUCACUGUGCCUGACCAGGAUACUUUUAAGAAGGAAAGGAGGUAGGUACUAUAAUUAUAACAGGACAACUGGUGUCAUCUGGGAUGGAUGGUUAUUCUACUCCCUGCCACUUUCCCUUAUCUCUCAGCCUGUUUGCUCAAGGAGACAACAAUGAAUCUCUAGAGACAUUUGCCUUCACAGAACUGGGCAUAACCAACUAGUGUGAAGGUAGGGGCACAGACAGAUUGAGGCAGAGGGGCAGGAAUGAGGGAGCAUGGAACAGUAUCUGGACUGACUUAUGUACUAACCAAGUUGCCAGAGAUGAACCCAAAUGAAGGGACGGGGGCUGCUAUGGAGGUGGGCAGCUGGGCUGUGGCUGUCUCCCUGUUGCUUAGUUGAAGCUGCAAGAGGAAAGAGGGAAAAUGAGCAGACUGUCUCUCCUCUGGACAAAAUCAGCCCAUCUGGUUUCACAUUCGCUUCCAGUGAAGCCCAGCCCUGCAGUGCGUGAAAAUUCCCAAGAUCUUUUUCAGUUUUUUUUUGGGGGGGGAGGGGGGCUGGGUGUCUUUUUAAUACACUCCCCACCCCCAACCAGGAAUUUAUUCUCUAGUGAAACAGUUUAAUAUUAUUAAAAGAAUUAUUCCCAUGAGGUGAGCGUAAACCGUUAAAAAUCCCAGAGGGCAGGGAAGAUAUCUGUCUUUGGUUGUUGACCCAAGGCUGAACGGAAGCAGUUGUGUUAUUUAAGACUGUGUGUCCAAGAUUGAGACUGAGUUUGUUUGCUGUCAAGCGGGAAUUGUGUCUCAGAGCUGGAAGGAAUUUGAGGAGAUUAUUGGUUCAGCCUCCUGCCUCUAGACAGUUAACUCCAAAACUCCAAACAUACUUCUAAGGGACUUAUGGGUGUGAGGGUAAAGUACAUCCUUCUCAGAAUGUUGCAGAAGGUCUUCAUGAGCUCACCCUGUCUCCUGCCAAUCACACAUCUCCCACCACUUCCUUACUUGAACUCAGUGCUUCAGCUAUAAUGAUGAUAAUGAUGAUAUCGAACAUCUUUGGAGCUCUUAGGAUGUACCCCACACGUUUCUAACAUUUUACCUGUGUUAUCUCAAUUACUCUUCACAGUCCUAUGAAGUAGUUCCUGUUAGUAGUAUUUUUAUGGAUAAGGAAUCUGAGGUAACAGAGAGGUUAAGUAGCUUUUCUAAAUUCAAAUGGCUCCAAGACUACCCAGGAGAGUGUGCAGUUCACUCCAGGAUAUUUCCUCUGUGUAGACCACCAUCACCUGAGGUCUUGUGUCUGGUGUACUCAUCACCUUGGAAGCCAGAGUUUGCAUUCUGUGCCUCCUGAAAAGCUGGCAGUGCCUCCAGAGGCUGAGUCUUUUAUGCUAAGUUUGGGCAUUCACAGCGCCCUAUGCAUCCAGUCAAGGGGGCAUGAGCUACCGUGGUUUUCCUGGCUACCUCUCCCUCUAUGCUGAGAACAACUUGAGGCUAAAAACUAUUUUUUAUCUCUUGUUUCUAGCGCAUGGCCCACUUAGUCGGACUUCAAAACAUUUAACCCCAAAAACUGUGUGUAGUCAGAAAGCAAAUCAAUAAAAGCUGGUGACCUACCUUUUCAGUGCUGUGGUGGGGACAUGUCUAACCCAUAGGGAGCACCAGCAAACUAAAGAAAUGCAAGGCAAAGGGGGCUGUGGGUCUGGUUUGCAAUUUUAAUUUAUAACUGGUGUUUAGCAACAACUAUUUUAGACAAUAGGCCAUUCAAGACUAAAUUGAUUAUAGAAAUGAGAUACUGGUUGUGGAAAAAUACCCUAAAAAGUACUAUGAUGCCUGCUGAUUCGUGUGUCUGUUGGCGUCAACUUCCAGGAAAACAACUGGCCAAAAUGUAUCAAGGGCCUUAACAAUGUAAAUAGCUUUUGACUCUUUUACUUCUAGGCUUUUUUCCCAAGAAAAAAUUGAGAAAUGUAUAGAAAUAUGUAUGCAUAAGAAUUGCAGCAGUAAUUAAAAGAAUGGAAAGUUUGAAGCAAUCUAAAUUCCAGGCUUAGGGUAUAGUAAAGAUAAUUGUGUCACCAUGAAAUGAGGAACUCUAUGUAGCUAUUUGCAUUAUGUGUGUACAAAACAUUUGUAAUGACACAAUAAAGGCUUAAGAUAUGGUAAACAAACAAAGCCCUAGAAUAUAAAAUUCUAUCAAUAGCAUGAUUUCAACAAUGUAACAAGUGUAUGAAAACUAGGAGGAAAGGCCAGGUGCAGUGGCUAAUGCCUGUGGCGUGGUGGCUCACACCUGUAAUCCCAGCACUUUGAGUCUGAGGUGGGCAGAUCACUUGAGCUCAGAGCUCAAGACCAGCCUGAGCAACAUGGCAAAACCUUGUCUUUACAAAAAAUACAAAAAUUAGCCGGGCAUGGUGGCACACACGUGUAGUCCCAUCUACUGAGGAGGCUGAGGUGGCAAGAUUGCUUGAGCCUGGGAGGUUGAGGCCUCAGUGAGUUGAGAUCAUACCACUGCACUCCAGCC